rnacentral:lncRNA from 1 species
AUGAACCAGCUCACCGGCCCGAUACCAGCAUCCUUCUCGUGCAUCAGCAGCGUCGAGCAGCUCAACCUGGGCGGGAACCGCCUCUACGGCCAGGUACCAGACGUGCUUUGCAAGCUCGCUGGCCCGGCCGGCCGCCUCGCCAACCUCACGCUAGCUGUCCGGCAACUAUUUCAGAUCGGUGGCGCCGGCAUGCGCGGCGCUAAUCAAAGACGGCGUGCUGGACGUGAAGAACAACUGCAUUCCAGGCCUCGCCAACCAGAGGCGCCCGGCGGAGUGCGCGGCGUUCCAGAGCCAGCCCAAGACGUGCCCGGCGGCGACCACUCAGGUGGCAUGUCCCGCCGCACCUGCCGCCGCGCCGGGGGAGAGGAAUGUCAUCAGGGACUACUCCGGCUACGUGACGUACGCUACUCUGCAUGAUUGAGGCGCCACGGGAUGCACUAGGAGACAUAGUGGAUGCCUAGGUGGUAUUUUGGCUUUUUGCCCUUGUAUCCUUGUGUUUUUAAUUAGUGUGUUGGUGUGCAUGUGUGUUGUUCGUGUUCCUAUGUAUGUGCGGCUGUCACGUCUAGAUUUCACUUCUUGUACUACCAAAUCUAUUGUUAAAAUAAAAAAAGGAAAAUCUAUAUUUUUCUCGAGUGUUUUGGAGCUUGCCAAAAAUAGAUUUUCAAGUCUGCAAGUUGGUGCUGCGAUUGGCCAAGAUCGUCUUCCCAACUCCUUUGAGGACUCCAGCGAGUUUAGGAUUUGGGACGAGUCCUUGCAUCGGCACACAAUUACCUAUGGGUGUGCAGGUGUACCUUUGUUCGAUGUGUUUCUCAUUCCCAACGACUGGAUGAACAAGAGCACCGGUCCCAGUUCCCCACAGUCACCGUCAUCCCAGCCUCGUUUGCGUGCCUGUGCAACGUCGAUCGAGCAGCACCUGGCUGGAAAACGCCCUUUACUGUGACGAGUUAGAUUGCGGGCGGGCUGGACAUGGACUUGCGCAUGACUAGCCAGCGGACCUCUCGCUGUUGAGCAACUACAUCACGUUGGUAAGGCCAAUGCAAAGUGCUCUAGCUCUGCGCUGAGCCUCUGAUGAAGAAGGGGUAUGGCAGUGCAGUGAAUCAAGAAGAACAACAGCCUCAUGCGUUCCGAGCUGCAAUCAGAGGCGGCCCGAUCUGGAGCGCGUGUGUCGUUCAUGCGACAGCCGAUCGAGUAGGUGCCCCCCGAGCCCCGACGUACGUGCCAUGCGGCGUCGCAUGUGUCACGGACGGGGGCUGGUCGUGCGGAGGUAGGUACGUAGGGCUCGUCCACAUUCCAGCUGCGCUACGUGACAUAUGCAACUCCGGAUGAGUGAGAUCCACAGGGAUUCAAGGAAAUCAAGGACCGCGCGGCGCGCGUCUUGGUCGCAUUUGCUGUGCUCUCGCUCUCAUGUAAGUGCCGUCGGUGCUUUUGUUGGUUCCACUGCAUGCCCGGACCCGUUUUUGGCUGUUCUGCGGGCCGGGUUGAUCUCGCCGGCAAGACCCAUGUGAUGAAUUCCUACCUGUUUCUUACACUAGUUCACUUUGAUAUUGUUUGAAAUCAAACUUUGUUUAAUUGACUUUUGAUUGGGUUUAUAGCUAGGAAAAAUUAUGAUAACAUCUACAAUACAAAAUAAAUUUACUAUCAAGAAUACGGAUUAAUGACACAAUGUGUAUUUGUAGAUGUUGAUACUUUUCUAUAAAUUUGGUAAAAGUUAUAAAUAUUUAGCUUCGAAUGAUACCAAAAUUUACUAUAAUAUAUCAAAGGAGUAUCCUGGCAAUUUCUUGUGUUUUAUUUGGUUCCAACAAGAUUGGCCAGACAACUCUAACAUAAAACAAGUAUUAUUUGAGUAUGUGGACAGCUCUAGCAGUUAGGUUCUUUCUGAUAGAACUUGCCUACCCGAUUUCAAUUACUUAUUUUGUACAAUUAUUCUUUAAAUAGUAUGCGACAUGCCUGUUGAGGUCUUCAGGACCGUUGGUCUCCAUUAGGGGCAAUUGGAAGGAAGCGCCUAGGCUAGACUUUGAAUCUUCAGCUCAUUGGUUGUCCCGGGCUACAUGAUAUUCAGAUUGAAUAUCACCUGUAAGGCUUUCCUCUCGGUCCUGCCUAGUCUCAGGGAAAAUACCUCUGUUAUCAUUGGUAAUGGGGCUUUCACCUCUCCUUCUGGCAUGAUCACUGGAUUGGGUCUGCGCCUCUUGCGGCGGCAAUGCCAGCUCUGUUCUCCCAUGCUCAGCGACCCAACAUCUCCAUUCAAAGGGUGGCUGCGAUGGGCAGUGGGAUCUCCAGCUUACCGGUCACCGGCUGUCCUCCAUUACGCAACAGGAAGCCUCCUCUCUCAUGGUGGCUCUGCAAACUGUUCAGCUGCUGCCACUGGCUCGCGAUCGGCGACUCAUAUACUCCACCAGGCUGCUCUAUCGAGCCUUGUCACCGUCGGUGCCGCCGGAAACAUUCCUGCCACUCAUCUGGGACAGCUUUGCUCCAAGCAGUUCCUCUGGCUAGCUCAUCCACCGCCAUCGACUCUCGACUGCAGCACUGCUCUUCUACCGGAAUAUCAUCGACUCUGAAGCUUGUCUACACUGUGGGCAGCAAGAAGACCUGCACUCUUCCUUGGCUGCACAAAGGCCUCUGCUUGCUGGACGCUACUGGGAGCAGGCGACCUCAUGUCUCACUCCGUUGAGCAACUAUGGCAGCAGCACCUCCUGGCAAUGUUGGAUGCCCCUAUCAGGUCAACCAUCAUCACCUGCAUUCUUUGGAACAUAUGGAAAGCCCGAAACGCGCGCGUCUUUGAGCACACCGACAUCAACCCACCAGGGAUCCUCCGUCGCACGGCCGCGGACCUGCAGCUUUGGUCUCACCGUGUGCCACCAUCAUCACUACGAUUCUGGAGCGACAAGAUUGUGCAUGUAAUAGAAUGAUUUGUGUUGUAAUCCCUCACCCUUCUUACCUUCCCAAAUCCCCUGUAUGCCUCAAACUUUUGCAUACUUAAUAUAAAUGUUGAGGUCGGUGAUUUGCCUGCCGUAGGUUCCUAAAAAAAAUAUUCAGAUUGAACUACUAGGUCGCCUUCACAUGACGGCCUCCUUCUCCCUCUAAAGGCCAGUAGCCCAGUAAUGACAUCUACCCUUGUUGCUCCCUUGUCCAGUGCCCCCUCACAUCUCUUCUCCUCUCUCUCUGUGGCUCCCUGACCCCCGCCGUCCAUAGCCGCACGCAGCACGCCGCCCUGAGGUCAACUGAAUCGCAUCCGGGUCGGUUUCUUCUAAAAAAAUUGGAUUUCAAAACUUUCAAUGUUGGACUUCACAAAUUUACCACUUUGAAGAUGGACUUCGUAACUUUACCACUUAUCUCACGAACAACUUGAUUUCCCUACCAAUUUUCCUCUUACUAGUCCACCAACCCGUGCUCCCGCACGGGCUAAUGUUUUUAGAAGUUAUUGUAUUUAAAAAUUAUUUAGAAAUUAAACUCCUAGCUAAUAAUCAAAAUUGUUUACCUAGUGCUCUCUUAUUUUUCAAUAUUUCAACAUAAUACUUAUAUAGAUAUGUACCUAUCUUUGUCCAGUUGUGAUUGGUUUUUAAUUAAUAAUUACUCAAUGCACUUUUUCAUCCAUAUUCAUAUUUUUUCCAUUUUGUAUGACACCUCCAAUCCUCCAUACAUUAUGUUUAGCAUACAAAUCAAUAUUUUUCAUCGAUUCCUCACAUACAUAUAUAAAUGGUCUAAAUGGUGGCACUCAUCAUGUGUAUAUACUUUAACUUAGUAUUUUUAUAUUAACAAUGACAUAAAUAGCUAAUUUAAAAUCAUAUAUUAAUUUACUUUUUGAUAUUUCUGUAUGAUACACAUGAAGAUAAUUAGAUUAAGAUUUAGGUGUUUACUUUAGGUUAUUUUUAAUAACGACAUACGUGGAUAACAUAGAUAAAAUUUUAGAAUGACAUUUUAAGUUAUACUUUAUAAUGAUGUGUAUUAGUAAAUUGGAUGAAGGUUAUGGAGUUACUUUAGAUUAUUUUUUAUAAUAGCUAAGCUUGGUAAUUGAAAUAUAGGUUUAGAGCUCGUUUUUGAAUAUUUUCACAAUAAUAGUGGUGGGUAACUUUUUAGAAAAUAUAAUAGUGUUUGAUAUUUUUAAUUUUUAUUAGAAUUUGUCUCUUUUUUCUAGCUUGUCUCAUGGGAACUAACACGGAGGCAACCCAUGGUCCCGCACGGGCUAAUAUUUUUUAAAUAUAUUGUAUUUAAAAAUUAUUUAGAAAUUAAACUCCUAGCUAAUAAUUAAAAUUGUUUAAUUACUACUCUCUUAUUUUUCAAUACUUGAAGAUAAUAUAUGUCAUCGCUAGAUUAAAAAUUAUGGACUAUAUGUUUUUCUUGAUUAAGUUAGGUUAUUAUUUUAGGGGGAUGUAAUAUUAUCUCGAUAGAUGGCUACAUAGAUUAAAAAUUAUGGUUUGCCGGUGAAUGAAUAAAAUGUUGUAUUGGAAGACUUAUUCAUUGUGUGAAUGUUGAGACGAUCCAAGGUGUCUACCUAUCGACAGCCCACAGGAACUUGUCACAUUUAAAAUAGAAAGAAAGCAGGGUGCUAGGAACUUGUCGCAUUUAAAAUAGAAAGAAAGCAGGGUGCUGUACAGUUGUGUUUUCUCCUUUUCCCCAUUCAUCAGAUCACGGAUAGGCAUAGGUGAAGAUAUCAGCGGCUGGUGCAGGUGUGCUCUGUGUUAUCUCGCCUGGCAUUUGUCGUAUGAUUCACUAAUCACCCGUCCUGAUUUCCUACGGUCGGCUCCUCGUAGCGGUCGCUGGCACUUGUGCGGAUCUGAAAAGUCAGGUUUUGGAGAGUUGCUGCUGUAGCCGUCGUUCUUAUGGAUUUCCGAUUCGUCCUCAAGGAUUCGCUUCACAGGUACCUUUUCUCUCUUCUUUUCUUCUGUAUUAUUGAAUCGCAACCUGCGGUUUAUACUGAAUUAUUGCUGAACUGGUAAAUUUUUAUGCUAAUUUUUCCCGAAAGAUUAGCCAUGCAUCUAGCGGCACACCUUUUUUUUCUCUCUCAUUCGAUUUGGCUUGCUGCGGCCAAAACAGAGUCCGGUUUUUUACCCCUUUGAAAUUUCUUAUUCGUAGCUGUGUAUUACACUGUUUGGAUCUCUCCUAUGGUCUAAUAAAUUCACAUCUUCAUUAAUAUUGUACAAAUACCACUGUACACUGAUUGCACCUAUAAUAUUUGUACUUCUUCCAAGGUGGGUGUGUGGUUGAAUUUCUACUAAUACUUUUGCUGGACAUCUUCUAUCAGUUUAUAUCACUGCAUAAUAGAUUUAAGUAAUAUUAUAGGUUCAGCUAAUUUGUGUGAAGAGAAACAUGAAACACGUGAUUUUGUAUGUGGUACUUUGAAGGGCUGAACUACAUUACGUUGUGAAGGCAGAGGUACAUAGUGUGCUACAGAAUUUCCUUGUAGACUAUAUUUUUUGCCAUAUUAUCUUCUGGAGAUUCUUCAUCUGAUAUCAGAAUCUUAAGGCCUUCUCUGCUUGUAACGCGAGACACUGCAACAUACAGCUGUCCAUGUGUGAAGACUUGCUUUGGUAAAUAGAGUCCAACAUUUUUUAGUGACUGUCCCUGGCUUUUGUUUAUUGUCAUUGCAAAGCAUACAGUUAUUGGAUAUUGCCUUCUUUUCAACACAAAUGGCCAUUUUGAUUCGGUUGGUGACAUGAUGAUUCGUGGGAUGUAGACCUUAUUUCCAAUGUUUGUCCCAGUUAUGAUUUGUGCUUCGAUGAACCACUUCCCUAGUUGUGUUAUGGUCAACCUCGUGCCAUUGCAUAGGCCUGCACUUUGAUUGAUGUUCCUUAGCAGCAUUAUUGGUAGCCCAACUUUCAAUUGUAAUUUAUGAUUUGGUAUUCCAGGGAAUUUUAAGCUAUUGAGGAACUCUGUUGGAUACAACUGAUCUUCACUUUCUUUUGUUGAGAUGGCUUUGCAUACUGUAUCUGAGCUUAGGUAUGUUGUUUCUUCACCUGGUAUUUGACUCAUUAUGUAAGAGUUUAUGUUGUCCACCAUCUCAUUUCUUGGGCAUAGUAUCGCUCUUUCUUCUAGGUAUGUUCUGUUACUGUAGUUCCUUGAUAGAUCAGGGUAUGUGUUGUUUACAAUUGUCUCCAAUUCAUCCUCUCCUUUCUGUAAAAUCAAGUCUUGUGGUAUUGUUAUCCAAGCUUCAUCAUCUUUAUCUCCUGCUAAGCCGUCUCCAAUGCUUAAUAUCCAAUCUGCAAAUUCCUGUAUCUUCUUCUUUUCUUCUGUUGAAUUUGUAACUGCAGUUAGGCGCAUAUUUGUUGUGAGCUUAAUUUCUUCAAAGUGCUUCCAUAAGUAUGAUCGCUUUAAGGAUGCAUCAAUAAUAUGAGUUCUUCUUCCUUUUGGUAUGACUGGCAAAGUUUGUCUGAAAUCACCCCCCAUUACUAUUGUCAUCCCUCCAAAUGGCUUGUCUUUGCUAUUCUCAUCUGUAAAUCUUAGGAUGUCUCUCAAGCUCUUGUCUAGUGCCUCAAAGCAGUGUUUGUUUGUCAUAGGGGCCUCAUCCCAUAAUAUCAGUGAUGUCUUGUUUAAAAGUUCUGCUAGUAAUGAUCCCUGCUUGAUAUCACACGUUGACUCGUUAUUUAUGUUCAGUGGGAUGUGAAACCGUGAAUGUGCGGUUCUUCCUCCUGGUAAUAGAAGUGCUGCUAUACCACUUGAGGCCACGGCUAAAACUAUUUUUCCUUCAGAUCUUAGGGAUUUUGUUAUAGCCUUCCAAAGAAAUGUCUUCCCCGUUCCACCAUAUCCAUUGACAAAUAUAAGUUUGCCAAGUUUACUGUUAACUGAUUGUGUUAUUGCAUCAAAAGCUUUCCUUUGAUCAAGAUUUAAUUUCUGUAGUAGCUCCACACACUCUUUUUGGAGAGAAUUUCUGUCAUAGUUUAGCUCCUCAUUCAGCAACCUAUUUCUCAGACCCUGCAUGACAGUGUUGUCUGGUAGUGGCAUUCCAUUAAAGUCUUUUAGAGAUUUUCCACCUUUUCUUAGCAACUGCUCUAUCUCUAUUAGUGUAAGCUUCUUCUUUUGUUCUGGUUGUAGAUGUAAUCUUUCAAAGUUCAUGAACCUCCUUUGGUGCCUCUCGAUGUCCUCAGAAAGUAGUUCCCAAUUUGAUUCCCACAGUUUCAGAGGGUCCGUGACCUCACAGAAUAGCAAUAUCGUGCAGAAAAGUUGUCGCAUCUGGGUUGCGGAAGCCCAAAAUGAAGCCUCUUUGAUGCAAUCGUCCCACUCAUUGUCAUCAUCUAGUAAACCAAGGGCGUAACACGUUGAUUUGUAGGUUUUGUGGAUAACACCAUCCACUUUUCUGAUGUCUUUGAAUGACUUGCAUCCUUUCACAAUGUUCAGCAGUAUUCUCAAGUAGUACCUAUCUCCACUUGCAGGAUGGGCAUAAUAGAUCCUGCCUAUGGAUCUUUUUCCACCACGUCUCGGCUUCUAUUCCUUUUCUUUUGGGUGCCAUGUCCACUUAGUUGGAAAUUCUGCAUAUGUUAGUUCACGGGCAUCUUCAUGCAACCGAUUAGCUACGUGAUUUGGUUUUGAGUCCUAUAAAAUGUGGAGUUGUUUAGUUAGUUUGUAGAUAAAAUAUCUACGUGAUUUGGUUUUGAGUCCUAUAAAAUGUGGAGUUGUUUAGUUAGUUUGUAGAUAAAAUAUCUUGGGACGUGUGCUAACAGCUUGGAUUUGGUUCUGAUCCUUUUUAAAAUAUAUAGUUGUUAGGAUAUUCUCGUUAGUUUAUCUGUCUUAACUGAAACAAUAAAUUGAAUUUUUUGUAAGAUGAAAUUGUUAUUUUAUUUUUUGGUUCAUGUAAGAAUUUUUAAUCAUCAUCUGAACUAUCUAUGUGUAUAGCAGCCAUCUUUUAUAUUGAUUAAAGUGCACGUCCUGUGGUUGUGUCAUAUAGGUGUACCAACUAUGAAAUUAUAUUUUUGGGAAACUAAUCGAUUUAAGUGGUGCAUAGUCUAUUCAAUAUGGGCUUAGCAUCGAUCUAGCAUGCCGACUCGAUUCCUUCUUUAUCUAUCUUUUUCUAAUAAUUGCUCCUUCUCUUUCUCUCCUCUUCCUCACGCCAGCAACAACUGCCCAGCUCCAAUUUUCCUCCAUGAGCCAACUACAGAAGGACAUCUCUAUCUCGUGCACCUCGUCCAACCAAUCCACAGGGAACAAAGCAGCAGCAACAUCUUCUCAAAGUUGGUUACUCCCUGUUCUGCAAGCAGCUACAACACCACCAGUCCCUCGCUUCUCCAAAAACCCAAACAUCAGCAGUCCCUCAAUCCAAUUCGCAACAGUACCAUCAGCUAAUCCAUCAAAUCUAACUUUGAUUCCUCGCUUGAACAGCUCACCUCUCUCCUUUUUUUCUCAACUGAGUACAGCAACGCAGCAGUUUGAGAUCCCUAUUCUUUGACACAAAAUCGUCAAACACGAUUACCUUAUAGUGGGCAUGCCGUGCCAGUCAAAUGUUCACAUGGCAGCCUCCGCGCUAUUUAGUUUUGUCCACUCUGCCAACGAAUUUUUCCCAGUGCACAUGUGGUAAACACAAACUGGGUUGUUUUCUCUUUUAAAUUACUGAUCCCUAACAAUAUAUAUUUUUGCUAUUACAAAACUCUCCUAUGAUCAAAUAGUACCUUUAUUAAUAGACUACAAAUAAUAUUGUUAACUAAUCCUAUCUAUUCUAUUUUCUACUUCUUCCAAGGUGCUUGGGUGCUUUAGUAGCUUUUGAAACUUCGUCCGGACAUCUUCGAUCAAACAUCUGAUUGCAAAUAGAUUUAAGUAAUAUUAUGAGGUUAGUUAACUUGUUUGAAUUUAAAGAUGAAAAUUGUAAUUGUAUUAUACAUAAAUAAUUCUAUACCUAUUGUUUGUAUUUUGCAGGUAUUCUCCUAAUCCUUGUUGACCUGUAUGGAGAUGUUUGCUUAUUGUUCUUGUUGUCUUCGCUUACUUCUUUUACACCAGUUUCAUGCUUGCUCUGCAAAUUUUCUUAUUAUCGUUAUUAAUGCUAAAGAUUAGUAAAGGUCAGACAACAGAUGCGAAUUGAAUUACCUCUUCAUCUGAUACUUUCAUCUUCAUCUCCUUUGAGUCGCCUUCUUGAUUUCUCCUUUUAAAUUUCUGGACACUUUGUGUCUUACUGUCUCCAUCAAACUCAUUUGGUUCCUUCUCCUGCAAAAACUUUAAAAAUAGUAUUAUAUAUCCGGUAACACUAUGAACUAUGAUCUGAUUUCUUCUUAGAGUAUUUGUUCAUCAACAGAUGCGAAUUGAAUUACCUCUUCAUCUGAUAUUUUCAUCUUCAUCUCCUUUGAAUUGCCUUCUUGUUUUCUCCUUUUAAAUUUCUGGGUUCUUUGUGUGUUACUGUCUCCAUCAAACUCAUUUGGUUCCUGCUCCUACAAAAUUUUUAAAAUAGUAUUAUAUAUCAGGUAACACUAUGUAGUAUAAUCCGAUUUCUUCUUAGAGUUUCUGUUCAUUUGUGCAGUAAAAUUCCUAUUAUCAUAAUGUCAUCAUGUUUUUGUAUAAUUUGCAAAUAUUGUUACACAUACAGAAAAGGUUUUUUUUGAGGUAAACGUAUAAUAAAUUUUUAUGUCCAUACCUCCUCAUGGUUAUGCCGUUCAUUUUCUUCAUCUGAAUCUUCUAUUUUACAUAUUCUCUUCCUUGCAUUCGGUCUCUUAGCUUCCAUGCAUUCUUCAUCUGAGUCUAGUACUGUAAUUACAUUUCUUUUUUUGUAUUUCUUCCUUUGGAGGGUCUUCUUGUACUCACUGGCAGUAAAGUUAUCUUCGUUGAGACCCUUUAGCUCCCAGUCAUUGGUGUGUCCUUCCUACCAAAAUAAAAACCUUAUCCAGUAUUGAAGACCUAAUUAACAAAAUAGGAAAGAUGAACCGUUGUUAGUUACAAUACCUGUGUAGUUGGAAUUUUUUUCUUCAUAACUUUUUUGCCUUUUCUUCCUUCUCGGUUAACUUUCUUUGGAUUUGUUUUUAUUCCUUUGCUUGAACCUUGGAUAUCACUAAUAACCAUCUUUGAGUUGUUGCCAUCUUCUUCCUAAGAUUGCAUAAAUUAUUUAAGUGCUAAGGAAGUAUUUACCCAAAUACAAAAAUGACAUUUCUGUUUGUUGAAAUACAGUUGUAGUAGAAGUGUUUGUCUGCAUUACAACUUUUUUGCUUUUCCUUUUCAGCCGAACACCUUUCUUCAGAUGUUUUUUUGACCUUUUGGAUGAACUAAGGUUUUCAUCUCCAAUGACAUCUGAAUUGCUGAUAUAUUCAUCCUAAAAAAGAACUUGUCAAGUGUUAAAAAAAUAUUUAAUAAAAAUAUAAGAGAAUACUUUUGUUUAUGGAGUACCUUUUUUUCUAUGUUUUGUACGGAUAUUUUUCUAUGUUUGCGUUUUUUCUUGUCACUUCUUCUGGCAUCUUCUUUUUCCUAAAAAUUGUGAAUUAUCACAUAGAAGAGUAUAUUAAUAUAGCCUAAGAAUUGAACAUAUAUCAUUUUUUAAUUUAAUUGCAAUAGAGCACUUUCUAAUGCAUACUGAUCAGAUUAGAUAUUGCACUAUCCGCUAUUCCUUUAAAGCUUAGUCAGCCUGCAAUUUUGCAUGAAUAAUAUUUUUUUUGCAUGUACUGUAAAUAGAAUGAACAAUGAGAGGGAAGUGAGUAUACUUUUCUAGCCAAUCUUUCUCCAGUCCUUAUGGCUUUUUGUACGAAUGUUACUUUCUUGGUAAAAGAGUCAUCAGUGUCUACCUCUUCAUUCUCGGUAGUUAUGGUGUAGCAUUUGUCUGAGUUGUCUUCUACUUCCUACAAAUAAUCAAAAAAAAAAUAAAUGUAGGUUAGAAUUUGUUUCAUUGAUAUAGUAAAAUUAUUAAAUAUUAAGGAUUCUAAAGAAAAAAGUGCAAUAAAAACUUAAUAAUAAAGUGUUACCUUUUUUACACUUUGCAUUCCAAUUCUUGAACUACUCUUUUCUUUUAGAAAAAAUAUCUUUGAAACAGUAUAAUCUGGUCUAAAACUUGUCAAGUUGUACUCGGUCAAUCUGAAUUGAAAAAUUAAUGUUUGACCACAUAUUUUUUGAAUUGAUUCUGGUACCUCCUUACUAUCAUGAUCAGCUGAGCUGAUCAUCGAAUCUGCUGAUUCAUUAAUUAUCAUUUCUGCUUCCUUGUCAAAAAGUACACAAGAUGCACUUGUAGUCGGAUCACUUAUUUGAAGCUUAAUUUUGAAUCUGCAAACAUUAUUCUCCUAUGAGAAAUAAAAGUAUUAUAAUGAUAUUGUAAACUACUAAAUAAUUUACCGUGCUUUAGGUUCGGCUCUCUUGUCACAUUUAUUGCAAUAAUAGUGAUCAAACUUCUUUUCAAGUUGCUUCUUACAAUCGCCUCUACUACAUGAGAUGUAGUACCAACCAUAUGUUGCAUUAAUUUCAUUUAUUGUUGCUUCAACAGUAAAUACCUUAUCCUGAAAGUAGGAACAAUACCAUCAUUAUGUAUGUAAGUCUUUAAAUAGUAUAGUGUGUAAUGAACAUACUAAUUCAUACCUGAUUUGAUGCUUCAAAUAAUAUCAAAUUUAAUUCUUCUAAAGUUCUUCUGUUGUACUGCAUUUGGUCUUGCAAUGUCCCUUUUAGAUGGUCCUCAAUAUGAAUCUCUUUGACAAUAUUAUCAAUUGAACUAACGUUUUUUAUCAUACAAAAGAAUGUAUCAUGUUAGAGUGCAUGCAACAUAGAUUAAAAUAGAAAAAUAAUAACUAAUUUUUCUCACCUGUCAUGUGCAUCCUUAGUUUCAGGAAUAGGUAGAUCUACAUAAACUUUUGUUGCAUUGGUUGACGAUAGAGAAUACCCUGAGAAAAUAUCAAUUAUUUAUUUUCCUAGGAGGUUAGUUUGUUGAAUAAUUAAUAUUGGAUAACUCAUAUUGAAUAAAGACUUACUUCCAAAUUUCCUCACAGUUGUAGAUGUUAUUGCGAUGACAUGGGAUUUUGUCUCAUCAUCAACUUCCUCAACUUUGUCUCCCCAAAAUCUAACUUUAACUUCAUGAUCACUACAAAUUUAAAAGUGCAUAAUAAUAAAUAUUUAAAAUAUCUAACCAUGAAAUUAAUUAUUUGUAGGGGCACUAUAGAAGAUAUUUUCUAGUUCAACAGAAGUUCUAUAACAUGCAUGUAAACGUUGAAAGUUUCGUAGUUGUUUACUACAAAAGAAAAGAGAAUUACUCCAUCAGAAGCACAAUAUCACGGAUUUUGGUAAAUCCAAAGUUUGUUCUUGUUUCUUCUAUCGGUCCAAUGUGUGCUGCGACACCUAUAACAUCUAUGAAAUAUAAAUAUGAAUUAUUAUUAGAUGGCUGUCGAAUGAGUGGAAGUGUAAAAAUUGAAAAGCCAGUAAUGGUUUACCUGAUAGGUACAUGUCCACAUUUAUUCUUGAUGAAAGCAUAUCCGUGCUCAUAAAAUUGAAACUAUACUUUGGAAUGUCUUCAGUAUCUUUGACCGUUUUUAGUGUAGUUGUGGGCAAGAAGUUGACUAUUCUGUCAUUUACCACUGGCCGAUACUUCUGGGCUGCUGGUGUGAUUCUGACAUUUGCAAUUGUGUACACAUUGCCUUCUUCAAUCAAUGGUUUGAACUUAUCCAUAUAGGCCUUAUUGAUAACACCGUGCAUCAUGGUUCCCUAAUUUUGCAUCAUCAAUAAUAAUUUGUAAACAAAAAAAUAUACCAAAAAUUGCAAUCAAAGUGAACAUCCAUCAUACCUCUUGAUCAAUAAGGAUCAUGUCAAGACUUAAUUGUUCGCCACUACUGAGUAAGGUUGCAUUCCACAAUCUGGUUACCCUUGCCUUGAUGUUCCACAAUUCCUUUCCCGGUCUAAUUUCAGAUAAAGUUUUGCUCACCAUUGCAACUUGUUGAACUGCAUAAGCAAAAGAUGGUGAUGGAUUCAAUUGGACUAUUUUUCUAUAUAAAAGACAUUAUCUACAAACAUGGAAUUCAGUUGCAUGCUGUACUACUACAACUGGAUCUAUGUAUUGUUGGUUAUUACCGAGUGCCAGAUACUAACAGCUUAAUUUGCAGGUUGGUGGCAAAAUGCAAUCUCUGGAAUGUCGUUGUAAAUAUCUGCAUGUGUUCGACAGUAGCAACUCAAGAUUGUUAUUAUUCCAUAAAAACAUAAAUGAUUGUCGUGAUUGGUCAUACUUAAAUGUAUUAUUUUAAUUUUGAUACAAAGAUGCGAUAGGAAUAACAGUUUGAGAACAAUGGUGAGAAGCAAGUCAUCUAUACCACGUAUGCAGGAGGCCAUACAAUAACAAAUUAUUUAAUAGUACUAAUAUAUUCCAUGAAAAGUUAAUCUAAUUAUAGAAGGGGAACCAAACAAUUUGCAAGCUUGCAUGCGACCGUGCGCAAUGUUACUCCUCAAUGAAAACAAACUCAUAUCUGCCUUUGAGAACAACUGUGAGAAGCAAGUCAUCUAUACCACGCGUGCAACAGGCCAGACAAUAAACAAAUGAUUUAAUAGUAGUAAUAUAUGCUAUGAAAAAUUAAUCUAAUUGUAGAAGGGAAAUCAAACAAUCUGCAAGCUUGCAUGCGACCGCGCCCACGAUGAUAACAAACCCAUCUCGCCUAUAACUCAAUUCUCAUUAUUAGAAGGGAAAUCAAACAAUCUGCAAGCUUGCAUGCGACCGCGCGCACGAUGAUAACAAACCCAUCUCGCCUAUAACUCAAUUCUCAUUAUAUUGAUUAUUUUCCUCUCAUAUGACCAUGGAGAAAGACAUACAGAGAGACAAAGAGAUUACAGUACUGGUAGAUUGGUUAGGGCAUUCAUCUAUGGAGAUUAUUCUAUAGUAGGAUGAUUUAGAGAGAUAUUGGUACCUUUGGUUGAUGGUCGUCUUCCUAUGAGAAAAGACAAAAGACAAACUGAAACCCGUUGGAGCUCAGCGUUCUCGCAAGCUUGGUGCCUGUUGGAAGGAUCGGGAGAGAGAAUCGCCUGCUUCUGAGCGCCGGACUCUAAAUUUCCUGUAUAUAUAAUGGCCAUGCAAACUAAGCUCCGGACUCUGAAUCACCAUUAAGGUCUAAAAAUAUUCUGACAUUCACGUGGACAUUUUAAUCAUGUGCGGCUAAGAGAUAGAUUUAUUGAUGUACGUAAAAGAUAUAUUCUUGCUAACAGAUAGAUUCAUUGAUGUAUAUCUCACGUUCACCUCAUAUUUCACGUCCGACAAUUAAGUCAAAUUACAUGGAGAUAAAGAUUAGGGGUUGCUUUAGUUUAUUUUAUAUAAUGGCAUAGGUGGGUAAUUUAUAUAUAGAUUUAGGGGGUUACUUUAGGUUGUUUUCAUAAUGGCAUUGGUGGGUAAUUUUUUUGAAAACAUAAUAGAUCCAAUGGCUAUGGUGAUUUAAAUCUAUAUAUCGAUGGUCGGAUGCUUUGCUUUUUUGUGAGAAUUUCUAGGAUUUCUCUUUUUUUUUAGAGUGUCCACCUAGGAAUCCUAGGUGGCUUCACCUGGAGGCUUCAAAAGGAGCCUCCAAUUAGUAAUAGUAAGAUUGAUUUUUAUUUCUUUUCCAAAUAACAGCCACCCAAAAUGACUAAAAUGCCCAUAACCACCUCUCUGCUAGCCACUUCGCGCCGUUCCCGCAUCAGUCGCCGCCGCACAAUUUGGUCCGGAGGCGGAGAUCCUACCCUAGCGCUCGGCCGCUUGAGACACCCGCUGGCUGUCGUCGCCAGAUUCAGUCCAGACUCCAGAGGCCGCUAUCCUCCCCUAAGAGAAGGUCAAUAAUAGAGCCAAUAUCUUUGUCUAUAAGACAAGACAUGUCAUCAACAAAUGAUAUUGCAAGUAAGGUGCACAGCAAUGGUCGCUUAACUUACCACCUCAAAACUCUUAUUAAUAUUUCUUUAUUCAGAUUGGCCCACCCAUCAGCACCUAAACAGCUUUGCCACUGCAUGCUGUUUAAUGCUGUUGUUCUUGGCUUCUGUGUUCAGCUUAUUCAGCCGGCUUAUCAGACACCAAACAGUAUUUUUCUCUCACAACAAAUCAGCCGUUUCAGCUUUUCAGCCGGCUUAUAAGCUGAAGCGAACAGGCUAGCGCCAAGCUGAGCACUUUUUUCUUCUCUCUCCUCCACGGCAGCAUGACUACAAUUGUUGUACCUGCUCUAACACCCGGUGCUGACCUCGAGUAGCGCGUGAGAAGAGAGGCGCAUCACCCACGGGCCAGUUGCUACGGGCACGUGUAGGGUCAUGUUUAGUUCACCCCCAACUCCCAACUUUGGCACUAUGCAAAAAGAAGAUUCCCCAUCACAUCAAACUUGCGGUACAUGCAUGGAGUACUAAAUGUAGAUGAAAUUAAAAACUAAUUGCACAGUUUUGUUGUACUUUGCGAGACGAAUCUUUUGAGGCUAAUUAGUCAAUGUUUGGACAAUAAUUCACAAAUACAAACGAAACGCUAUAGUGUGCUACAGUGCCAGCACAGUAAUUUGGCACCUCCCAAUUUGGCCAACUAAACAAGGCUUAGGAGGGCUGCAAAUUGCUCUGUGCAGCCACGCCCCGAAUUGCUGCCGCGUGUCCACCCGACAGAUCCAGCAUCUUGCUCUCAGCUCUACUUCAACCAUCAGCCGAACGCAUGCGGCACGGUUCUCAGCUCUGCUUCUGCACUUGUCUUUCAGUUUUCAUAUUCAAGGAUUGUAUUGGCGGUACAGAAAGUGUUUCAUAUUGAUUUUGGUGAGAAGUGUAUGUAGAAGUAAGAUAGCAGUGAGUUGGCUACGUCCGGAGUAAGGACUAAACUUAAAUCCUAAACAAUCCAAACAGGGCUUAGGCCAUUCAAAAUGAAUCAACUCAUGGGAAUAAAGAAAGGUUAGACAUGUUCUGAAGAUUGGUUUGGUGUUUUGUUCCAGUGGUUGAUUCGGUACUAGGUCCACCAUCAAAUAAAAAAAAAAAAGCCAAACUUCUUCUCUGCUGCUUGCUCAUGAAGGCAUAAGAGGCAUGUGUUCUGCUUUUAGCUUUGUUUAUCCCCUAUGAAUCCAUGCAAGUAUAAGAGUUGAUUCUUUGUCUCUUUUCCAUGAAUCGACUACUUCCAAUGAAGAUGAAUCGGUUCAUCACCUCCACAUCAGACCAUGAAUUGCUUGGAAAGGGCCAAUGGCCUUGUGGGGCUAUGGGUGCCCUAAGCUUUUAAGUUUUGAAGGACUACUAUGACACCAAACAGAACUUGUUUAACCCUAAUAUCAACUAUUUUCCUAGUGAUUUCUUUUUACGAAUUGUCGGCAUGAUUUUUCCAAAAUUUUAUUAGAAAGAGAAAAAAUAAUUGAAAAAAGGGUUUGCUCCCAUCAGCAUAUAUAGUGCCCUAAAACUAAGAAUAAAUUUGUUGGCUGCUGCUGCAAAUUUUCUCAUACUCAAAUUGGCUAUCUAUUGCAAUUUUUUAUUGAUUAGGUUCUUUAUGUAUGAAAUCCGUUUACCUGGAUUUGAAUCCUCGAUUUACCAGGUGCUCUAGUUUUCCUUGAUCUAUUUGAAGGAGUAUCAAUUUGUUUAGAUAAUAUUCUCCCUUGAAAGCAUGCCCACCAUUCACAAAAACCCUGUCAAGCACGGCAACUGUACAUGCUUUCUUGUCGAGAUUGGACGAUACGUACCAAAUGACUUGACCGACCUUGUCAGAGAAAACCUACGAAUGAAUUAUGACCACACAACACAUUCUUGGAAGCGCCAUCAUCACAGAAAAGAGCCAAAUCAGAAGGAAUCUCGUGCUGGUAAACCAUCACCGCCCCAGCUGAAUUUCGACCGCAACGAAACGGCACGAGACAAGUGGUCCAUGAGCCUAGAAUAUCUCCGUUCAAUUUCAGUAGAAAAGUACUCUGGUAUUUUAGGCUGGACACGCCGCAACAAUCUUAUCCAGCUCAAGCAGCGACGUACGGCUGUAGUAUAGAAGAGGAGACGGGCCGGGACCUGAAAAAUGACGGUAGCUGUUAAGUUUGACGGACUCGGGUCUUCGCUACAGAAGCGGUCAAGCUAAGCCAAGGCCAGUAAAUCUGUUUUUAAACCCCGGGGGGCCUUGGCCAGCUAAGCAUCAAAGCUCACAGUACACAACUACACACCACCGUGUCGCAAGUGAAGCACGCUCCGGCCUUGCAGAGGUGCACCAUUCUCGAUCAUCUCUAGUCCUGAUUACUAUUGCUUCUGUUUUUGUCUAGUACUCUGCUGACUUACCUACCAUAUCAGUUUUUUCCGCGUGAAGCGGUAACACCUGACAAAAGUUCAGCCUUUCUGCUUUAAACAAGAAGUAAAAUUUAGAUAUAUUUCAUGUUCGAGCGCACCACAUCCGUAGUUCGAUUGAAUUGUAUUGUUGUCGUCGCUAGAACAUAUUAGAUGCCAUGAACGGGCAUAGUGAUACAGCGAAGCUCCACCAGUGAACGUAGCAUGGCCAAUAUUUACUGUUUACAUUUUUGCAGGUGCCUUGUUUGUCAUGUGUUGCGCUAAGCAACCCGUGAAAAGCAGCAUGCUCUUACUAUUGGUUUGGCUGCUGCUAUCAUAUUUCUUUGGCAAUAUUCAUUGCUCAACUGUCCCCAAGAACAGCACGGACAUGCUUUCACUGCUUGAUUUCAAGCAGGCCAUCACUAAUGAUCCGGGGAAAGUUUUGAGCAACUGGACUGCUAGCACUCCUUAUUGCCAGUGGACAGGCGUCAAAUGUAGCCGGACGCACACAGACCGUGUCGUCGUGCUGGACCUCGCCGGCCACAGUUUGACGGGCACGUUGACAGCUUCACUUGGGAACUUAACGUUCCUUAGGAUACUCAACCUGUCCGUGAAUCACUUCUCUGGUCACUUGCCACAUCUUAACCAUCUCCACCAAUUGGAGGUCCUUAAUCUGAGCAGUAACUCCCUACAAGGGGUAAUUCCAGAUACACUCACAAACUGUUCCAAUCUUAGAAAAUUAUUCCUUGCCUACAACUUUCUAGAAGGUGAAAUUCCACUGAAUGUUGGUCUCCUAUCAAAAUUAUCAACAUUGCAACUUACGAACAAUAGUCUGACCGGAGCCAUCCCACCAAGUCUCAAUAAUACUCUGCUAGAAAAAAUCGGCCUUGCAAAUAAUCGGCUCACAGGAAGCAUUCCAAGUGAGCUUGGAUAUUUGUCAAAUCUGUCAGUUCUGCUUCUCGGCGGCAAUAUGCUAUCAGGUGUAUUCCCAGCAUUCCUACUUAACAUGUCUACCCUAAUUGGGUUACAUUUAGGUAGGAAUUUGCUACACGGGGAGUUGCCAUCUAACAUCGGCAGCGUGUUCCCUAGUCUCCGUAAUCUUGUUCUAAGCAUCAACAAGUUUGAAGGCCAAAUCCCAGCUUCAAUAGGCAAUGUUCCAAAUCUUGAAGUGAUAGAUCUAUCAUCAAACAAUUUCACUGGUCAAGUUCCUAGUUCUUUUGGUAACCUUCUUCAGCUAAAUAAGCUAAUUCUAGAGGAUAACAUGCUUGAAGCACCAGACACCAAAAGCUGGGAAUUCUUAUAUGCCUUGAGAAACUGUAAUCAUUUGAAUGUGCUCUCACUAGCAGGAAAUCGGCUAACUGGAGCUAUUCCAGAUUAUAUUGGCAAGUUGCCCACUGGACUUGCAAAACUAUAUUUGGACGACAACCACCUAUCAGGGUUAGUGCCCUCAAGCAUAGGAAACCUGACUGGCUUGAUUUGGUUGGAUCUAGAUAACAACAAACUUACUGGUACAAUUGGAGAAUGGAUUGGGAUGCUAAAAAAACUACAAUAUCUAGAUCUUAGUGAGAACAGCCUCAAUGGGCCCAUCCCAUCCUCCAUUGGCAAUCUUACGCGGUUAGGGGUCCUAGAUCUAGGACAAAAUGAAUUCACUGGUACUAUACCUACCAGCCUGGCAUACCUUCAACAGCUCAUAGAUUUGGAUUUCUCCUACAAUAAAUUAGAAGGUAACCUACCUUCAGUGGUUUUUAGUAUCCCAACAUUGACCACAUUCGUGCUGUCGUACAAUAAAUUAGAGGGUCCAAUGCCUUCAGAAGUUGGUCAUCUUACACAACUCACUCUACUACUUCUUUCAUCCAACAAAAUCUUUGGUGAAAUUCCUGACACUUUGAGUCAAUGUCAAGAGUUGAAUAUCCUCGAACUGGACAAAAAUUGUCUCACAGGAAGCAUUCCGGUGUCUCUUGGUAACUUGAAGAGUUUGAGCGUGCUUAAUCUUUCCCACAAUAAUUUUUCGGGCUUGAUCCCAUCAGCUAUAGGUGACAUAAAAACUCUCACCUGCUUGGAUCUUUCUUAUAAUCGUCUACAAGGAGAAAUACCAUUCGGUGGAAUUUUUGCAAAUGCAACAGCUGUUUCGUUAAACGGCAAUUCGGGACUCUGCGGAGGAUCUUUGGAUCUGCGCAUGGCCCCAUGUGCUUCUGUUUCAUCUCAGAGAUUUGAAAGACAGUACUUUUUAAUCAAAAUAUUGAUCCCAAUAUUUGGUUUCAUGUCACUCAUACUAUUAAUCUAUUUUGUUCUCGUUGAGAAGAAGAUGUCAAGGCCGUAUUCAUUGCUGCCUUAUUUUGGAGAUAAAUUCCCUAAAUUUUCUUAUAUGGAUCUGGCUGAAGCCACAGGAAACUUCUCUAACUUGGUUGGGAGAGGAAGCUACGGAUCAGUGUACAGAGGGAAGUUGAUCCCUUCUAAACUGGAAGUGGCAGUAAAGGUUCUUGACCUUGACAUUCAUGGUGCAGAGAAAAGCUUCAUAUCAGAAUGCGAAGCAUUGAGGGGCAUUAAACAUCGAAAUCUUCUACCCAUAAUAACUGCAUGUUCGACUGUUGAUAUCACUGGCAGCUCUUUCAAAGCUCUAGUUUAUCCAUUCAUGCCUAAUGGGAAUUUGGACACAUGGUUGCAUCAUAAAGAAGGGAAUGCUUCAAAGUAUCUAAGUUUAAAUCAAAGAUUAAGCAUAGCUGUUAACAUCGCAGAUGCAUUGGAAUAUUUACAUAAUGACAAUGGAAGGACGAUUAUACAUUGCGACCUGAAGCCUAGUAAUAUUCUCCUGGAUGAUGAUAUGACUGCUCAUUUGGGGGAUUUCGGCAUUUCAAGUUUCCAUAUUGAUUCUGUGUCCACAUCAGUUGAGGAUCUAAAUAUGGCUAGUUCAAAAUGCAUUGCUUCCAUCGGCGUGAAGGGGACCAUCGGAUAUAUAGCUCCAGGUAUAUAAUUACUGUUUGUUCGAUUUUCAGCCAGUAAUACGUUGCAUAAGUAUAAUUAAUGAUGUUACAAGAACUGCGUUAUUUAUAUCUACAGAAUAUGGUGGAGGUGGCCAUGUAUCAACAUAUGGGGAUGUUUAUAGUUUUGGGAUUGUACUUCUAGAAAUGUUAACCGGAAAAAGGCCUACAGAUCCUAUGUUCACGAAUGGGCUCAACAUUGUCAACUUCGUCGAGAGGAGCCUUCCAGAUCAGAUAUUCGAUAUUGUUGAUGCUCCAGUCCAGGGAGAAUGUGAGACCUUUGCUCAAAAAGGUGCCCUAGUAGAAAACAGAAUCUCACGUUGCUUGCUGACUCUGCUACAGUUAGCACUUUCUUGUACGUUCCAAUCGCCAAGAGAAAGAGCCAACAUGAGAGAAGUAGCCAGCAAACUUCGUUCGAUCAAGACGUCACAUGCUGGCGCGAAAUUUUUUUGAAGAUGCUGAACAGUGAUUACUGAAAUCAACACGUACGGGCAUGCCCCUCAAUAUUUUAAUGAGUAAAACCCUGUUUUGCUCUCCUACAGUUGUCUGGGAGAUUAAGAAGGAAUAAUUAUGUUACGACCAAAAUUGGCAUAACCAGGAAUCAUUCUGUUGAUACCAAAAUUAUUAGCACAAAGCUUGCUCACUACUGCAGAUGACUUUCGUAUCGGCUCAUACGUGCCCGUCAAAAGGGCACCGAUGCAUCAAGUUCUUUCACACCGGUGCAGAAAACGACAGUGAACAUACUGAUGUAUAGCACACCGGCACGUUUACUUAAUUGUACCGCCGCACGAGUAAUUUCAUAAUCUAACCGGUCUGGACAUAUAAGGAUUGAUUCGCUAAUUAGGGUCUGUUUGGAAAGGGUGCUAAACUUUAGCACCCUAUUUUUAGCACCUUUUUAGCACAUGGGCUCCCAAAUAGGAGUGCUAAAAGUUGUGCGCUAAACUUUAUCACCCCCAUUUUCUUUAGCACACUCAAGGGGUGCUAAAGGGUGUUAAACUUGCUAAAAGUGGUCCUCAUCCAAUUUUUUCCCUGAUUGCCCCCUCUCUCUCUCUCCUUCCUGCCACACCCCUGCCGCCCUCCGCGGGACACGCUGCCUCUGCCCGGCCAUGCCGCCUCCACCGGCCAUCCCUCCCUCCUUCCCCACUCCGGCGCCGCCCACUUCUCCUCCGUGAUUUCCUAUUUCUCAUGCCGGGCGGGAGCUAGGCAGAGCCUAACCUCGCGGGAUCCGGUGCGGACGGCCUCUGUGGCGGAACCGCCCAACUUAAACUGGUUUAAAUGCAUCUAAUCGCUGCCGGAACAGCAAUUAUCCGAAACGCACUUAAAACAGUAUAAGUCCGGUCGUCCGUCGAGUGUCCCUAGGACUCCUCGAAUGAUCCAUGAUACGUCUCAUAGCCAUACACCAGGAUUGUUUCCAUGAUGGGAAAACAUCAACAAAUAUUACAUUUUUUCAUACAUACACGAGGUACGAGUUAUUACAAGACGUAGUUUGAAAUAAACUUAACAGUGCAGGUCAGACAGAGGUUCUAGGAAUUAAACAUAAACGGGUUCAGGUGGGAGAUGAGCAUUCAAAGAUUUCUUCUAAGGGUAUUGCGAGACUCGUAACAAUACCCUAAUUUUUUGGGGCUUCCUCCUCGGUGGACUCCUGCGGUGCCUCUGAAAACAGCCACAAGGGAUAACCCUGGGUACUUAGCAAGGCUUACCCGACUAACCAAUAUAAUAAACUUUCCUAGACUAUAUGACAGCUUUUUAGGUGUACUGGUGGACACACCUUUUUGCCAAAGAGCUUACUAAAAUUUCGUCCUUAGCUUUAUCUUUUAUUACACUUAAGUUAUUACCUAAUUAUUCUAAAUGAUGACAAAAAUAAAUAUUUUGUAAGCAUCAAGAUAUUAAGUCAUACACCAAAACAUUAGUGGAAAGAUAAUGCAUUCGUGAAUUUAUACUACGAUGCUCAACAGUGAUCAAGUGCAUUCAUAACCGAGAAUUGCGGUGAUCCGGAUCAAAUUACAUCCUGCAGGAAAGUACCCUGGUCACCAGUUAUAUACGACUGUCCAAGUCAUAUGUAACGACCUUUCGAUUAUCAAAUCCAAGGAUUGGGAAUAAGACUACCUGGACCCAGGGACGCACCCCCACAUGGGAUCCCACGUCUGGCCUGAUCUCCAUGUGAGUUUCAGGCUACGCCCCUGCCAAUCUCCAGCACAUCAAGCACGGGUACGAAUUAUUCCCGAUCAGAGGGUUUACUAACCUACCAGGCUUUACUGGUCCCAUACCCAGUAAGUAACCAGGUGUCAUUCACUUGAUCAAAGGUUAAGACAACGAUCGGGCCUUAACCAAAUUAAUCUAGCAGACAGAACUACAUCCUUAGCUUCUGUCCGCUUCUUAACUUUCAAGCUAUCUUUCCAUAAUUAGCAUGUAUGACCCAACAUGUUACCUUAAGGUUCGGUAAUCAAGUUACUUAAGCGACUAAGCAUUUCUAGACUUGGUAACUUACUAAAUAUUCGAACAAGUGGCAAAGAUGUCCUUAAAACAAGGUACGAUAAUGCACUAGAAUGGGUUUCAAUCAACUCCUAGACCUAGUGCAUUCAUAUAGAAAAUAACCGAUAAUUGGACACAUGAAAUAAUAACUCCAAAAUAAAUAGGUAUAAUGCACCGGGGCUUGCCUUGUUCUAUAAAAAAGUUAGCACUGUCUGAAGGAUUGGCCUCGCAGGGGACCAACUCAAUAAUCUCUUCGAACUCCGGAGAUCCUUCUGAAAAUUCCGAGAAAUCCUCUUCCGGUGCUUCGGUGUCUAAGAUAAAGCAUAUGCAGGGGUUAGUGAUGCAACUUUUUGAAUACAAGACUAUACAACUUUCCUUCAUGAUAAAGUUGCAAGCCAACAAGGGACUAUACAAUUUAUCAUGAUAAAGUUGCAAACCAACACAUAAAAACCCGAAAAGAUUAACCCACCAUUUUUAUUUCCUUCACUAACCUUACCUAAGGCUCUUUCUUUUAUUUUUAGAAAAUGUUAUAAUUAUUUUCUAGUCUUGAAACCUAAUUUCCUAUGGGUUAACAAUGAUUUGUGAUUAUGAAAAUGUUAUUCCAUAUUUUAUGCAUUUUAAUAAAGAUUAAGUAUUUAUUUAAAUACCUUAAAGAAAAGGCAUUAAACAAAUACCUAAAUUUUUAUUAUUUUUUCUAGGGUAUAAAAAUUUUAAUGCAUAAAAGGAAAAUAAAACAAUCCUAACAAAAUUGGUUUCACUAAUUUUGGACACCCCUAGAAAUUUCUGUAAUUUAAAUGGUGAUAACCGAAUUUAAUCUAUUAUUCUAUAAAAGGAAAUCUAAAUUUUCCCGGAAAAACCUCAGCCUACUUUUCUCACGCACCCUUACCCUACCCCCUCUCUCUUACGCUGGGCCCGCGACUCGGACCCACCCCCUUCUCUUAUUCAUCCUACCCGACGACCAUUUCUCCUCGGCUGGGCCCUACUGGGCCGAUUUCUUCUCUUCUCCUCUUUCCUUUUCUUAAUUUGGCCCAGCGACUCAACCCCUUCUUUUCUUUCCUUCGCGCAUCUUCCGACCUGUCUCACCGGCCUACCGGCCUGCUGGACCUCACGGGCCCCCAACCUCUUUCCUUUACCAACCGCCCACACUGGCACUCGGGUCUACGGGACUUCGGCCCACCUGACGUCUUCGCCCCGCCUGCUUCCUUCCUCCCCUUUCUCCUCUGACGCGUGGGCCCACAAACACCAGAGCCUUCUUCCUUCUCGCGCCAAAACCCGAGCGCGGCAGGGGGCGGCACAGCUCGCCGGCCGGUGCCCCACCGGCGACGGGGCCGGGCUGGGGAAGCAUCCCCAUGCCCUAGUGCACCUGUGCGCGGCGGUAGCUCCCCGGGAGGUGGCCAGAGCCAUCCUCUCCACGGCGGCGGGCGACGGCACUAACGGCCGGCCGUGACUAAGCACGACGACGGCGCAGCCCACCCUUUCGACAACCUCUACAGCUUCCUAGUACCCCAAGGACUCACCUACGACUGUCCACACGGAAAGAGAACGAAGGCAAGGAAUUGCUCACCGUGAGCAGGAGGUGCGGCGGUGGCGGACGGAAACGACGGCGAUGCAGGGCACGCAGGCGGAGAGGCUGGGCAACAAGCUGCUAGGGUUGUUGGUGGGGUGUGAGUGGAGGUGUGGACGGAAGGAAUCGACGAGAGCUGCGGUGUGGUGGAGGAAUUUUGCUCGGUGGCGGCGGCGUGACAGAGAGGGUGGCGGCGUUAAAAAGAACCGACGGUAAACACGGCGGCGGGAGCGGUAGAUAUAUGAAGUUUUUACCGUGCGCAUGGUCGACACCGUGGCCUAGCUAUGGCCUUGCGUGGCGUGGAGGUGGCCUAGCUGUUGAGCUGGACAGCGGGCAGGACCACCGGCGGCGACACGUCAUGCUCAGCUCUGUUUUCUCGUCUCCCCCUUUCUUCUUUCAUCAGAAAGUUCAGAGCCUUUCCACGGCCGAUUUUCAAUCCGACAGUCCACAAACCUCUUAAGCAAAGUUGGAGAUAAUCUCAAACCCUUUGAUUUAUAUUUAAACUUCUACCCAAGAUAAACAUCAAAAGGUUGCCAAAUUUCGAGUUUUUCUCUCAGACCACUGAAUUGCUUCUGAACAUCUUGAUUCAGUUCGACAGUCACCUGAACAUGGUCAUUUACCCAUCUUUGGAAUUAUUUUCAGUGGCCCAAAUCCCUUCUUUUUAAUCCAACUACUAACCAUUCAUACUCUACAACCAUCAGGGGUUCCAUUUUGCUCAUAAACACCCCUACUUUCUGCACUACAUUUUUCUAAAUUUUGCUCCAAACUCGGGAUCUUGCUCCAAAAUGACAGUUUCAGCAGUCCAGUCCACCGUGGCAAAGUGCUGACUUUGAGCUAAAUUUUAAAUUUACUCCCUUUACUGUUCUUGAUCAACAACACCCGAAUAUACUUGUCCAAAGUUCAUACUUCAUCACUGUAUAGUUGCCUUGGUCCACUUAUUUGGAAAAUUUGGCAGAAAUCAAUUUCAAAAAUGGAUACUUGCACUGUUUUUCCGAAAAUCCAUUUUCGGACAGUGAACAGUACACUCCUGUUUUAAAUUUUUCCAUUGCUUUUCUUGAGAUGUUUAGCACUAAAUUUAGUCCCCAAUCUUGAUUCCAAAGUUCUAAACACUCUCAAGCUUCCAUUCCAUAUUUUUGCCCAAUUUUUCUGAAUUUAGAAUUCAAAAUUCAAAUUUCGGUCAAAUUUGACUUUUAGUCAGUUUCUUCUCUUUUUCUCCAUAAUUCACCUUUAACUUUUCUUAAUCACCUUUGAUGACUUAAAACACCAGGUGUUACAGCCUCCGGCAAUCAGCGAUGGCGGGUGGAGCCCCGGCUUGGUGGCGUUGCGACGAGCCGUGGGGACUGCGCUAGGCCGCCGCCGUCGAGCCACCCGGUGGAGACGAGCGGCCGCUGGCAAGGAGGUGGACACGACGAGUUGGGGUGAGUCGCCGGGAGCAUGCUCGGCCUCGCCACCAUGGGGAAGCAGCAGAUGCCUCUGCCGCGGGGUGAGGCGGCCUGGGCGGAGCAGGGGCCGCAGCUAAUCACGGGCGAGGAGGUCGGGGUGGAGGACUAGGGUGGAGCUGGGCCGCUGCGUCGACGGGGGCUGCCGCAGCGGGGGCCGGGACGGGGACGGGAGGCGGGGGUCGUGCGGGGGUGCCGGGCUGACGGCAUCGGCGGCGCCUGGCCGUGCAGGGGUGCCGAGGCCGGUGGCAUCGGCCGCGCUUGGCCGUGCGGGAGCGGCGGCAAAGGGAGUGGGAGAGGAGAUGCGCGAGGUGGGGUGAAGGAGGGGAGCUCGAAGAGGAGGAGGAAGAGGGGUAGUGCGCCAACCAUAAAUGAGGGGCGCUGUUGUCAUUUGCCAUCAAAUGUGCUAAAGUUUACCACACUAUCCAAACAGCUCAAGGUGCUAAACUUUAGCCCUCCAUUUGAGGGUGCUAAACUUUAGCACUGAAGUUUAGCACAAGGUUCCAAACAGGACCUUAGUUAAAGGUAGCGGAUUGAGUUAGAACCAUCUAGGUUAUCCUCCGCACCAAACCCUACUAGCACGUUCUAGAUUAGCGUGUCAAUUUAAUAAGAAGGAAGUUCAAGCUUCAUAUCCUUCCACUCUGUAUAUUUAAAUGCCUGACCACUCAAGUAUCUGCAUGACCUACUCGCACUCUAUGUGUCUCUCUCUCCAUCUCUGUGUUUCUAUUACCCACCAGCCUAGCUAUAACGGAAAUGUUCGUCUCUCGCCACAUCUUGCAACAUUUUAACAUCUAGGAUGGCGAUUGCGUAGUCGAUCCUUUUGGUUACCACAAGCAUGUCCAUUGGCAUGUGCCUAGCCACAUAUAAAAACUGGAAGGUCUACAUCAAAAGCUUCCUUCUCCUAAGGACGUGGCAAGGUCCAUGACCACUCCUGGACGUGGUGGGAUGAGUAGUGAUGUUCCGCCGCGUCAAGAAGCUCGUCAUCAACGAGGCCUACUCUCAGCUUCUUGAGACCGGCCGUGCGUGUAUGUUAUUUUAGUUACUUUGAUGUCAGUCUAAAUUUCGUGAUGUGGACGUGUGUAAGUAACAAGAUCCCGUUAGGCUAUAGUUUGUGAUUUUAGUAACUGAGUGACAACAUAGUCAUUGGGAUUAAUGGUUUGUCAAUCAUGUACCUUGAAGGUUUUAUAGGUCCCAAGAAUGCAAACUAAACCAUGGCAUGAUCCAAAUGACGAUAUUUUCUGUGCUCAAAUGGCGGUAUUCAACUCAGAAAAAUUAGUAGCACUGGAUAAUCUGAUGGUGCAUUGGAGCAACCAUUGGACUAACCAUUGGAGCAAUUAUUACAAUGGGAAAGGUAGGGAAAAACUUGCAGCAAGCACUGGAUGAUCCGACGGUGUAAUUUUUAGUAGCAUUGGAUGAAUUCUGAAGCGAAGGCACGGAAGACUGAAGCAUCGGAUGAUCCAACGCCUAUGUGGAGGUGACUGUUGGACCAAGCAUAUUUACUGUUUCAAUGCCCAUCGGAUGAAGCGUCGGAAUAAUUUUGGGCGGGGGCCAACGGCUACUUGCAUCAGUAGAUGAUCGGAUGCCUACCCAAAGAGACCAUCGGAUCAUCCGAUGAUCAUAGCUUAGCCUUUGGAGCAACAGCUCUUUGAGGUCCUUGGACUAUUUAUACCCCCUCUACUCGCCCAUUUUGAAAUUAUUGGAGUGUCCAGGAGUGUAAGACAAAAACUCAUCAAGAAUACAUCCAUGCUAGCAAAAGUGAUAAUUCAAGAUUUAGCACAAGCUUAAAAGAGUGAUUAGUGAUAGGAUAGGCCUAGAGAGAGUGAGUGCAAGGUGCUGCUACCUUGUAAUUUGUUCAAGGAGUGAACCACCAUUGUAAGCCUGGUGUGCCUGCACCUUGGGGCCUUGGUGGCUCGUCGGCAAAUCUUCAACCCUCCAGCUUGGUGUGGAGUGGCGAUGACUGUGUGCAGGCGAUGAGGAGACCCCUUCCUUCGUGGAGAAGCUCCGUAGUAGAGAUAGCGUCAAGGUGAUCGGAAGAAAGGAAGUGGUGAGCCUUGCCGUCAAGCUUCUCAUCUGGCUUGGCGAGAGCCUUUGUGGCGAGCUCAAGACCUUUGACCGAGAGAGAGUUGGUGACCGGGAGCAUAUCCUUGGUAGAGCUUCAGCAUGAACUAGGGGUGGCAUUUUCCUACCAAUACCACGGGAUAAAUCACCGUGUCGAGUUUGCAUCCUUCCUAACCCACUCAUUUACGUUUUCACAUUUCAUACUUGCAACUUGAGUACAUGUACUUUCUAGAGUAGUAUCUUGAUAGGAUUAAUUGGCUCUAGGUUGCAAAAUUCUUUGUGAGUGGGAAGUUUUUCACUACAUCAACAAUAGUUGCACAUCUAGAUAGCAUGAUCUAUUUUAUAUUUGAUGCUUUGAAGUGGAAACCAUAGGUCAAGAUUUUAAGUUUGCCUAAUUCACCCCUCCCCCUUUAGGCUACGAGCACCGAUUCCUUUCGAUGUGGAACAACAUGUACUGAUAUUUAGUGUAAUAAAAUUAUUCGCUUGUGUUUAUUAAGUUUUCGAAUUUUGUUUCUUAUUUAAACAACAUUCUAACCGGUCUAGAAUCGAGCUGCUUAGAAUGAGUUCCUGCACUUGUAUUAAGUUUUCCUACUCCUCUGCCGCUCGCCGCUUCUCCCCCGCUCCUCCUCCUCUAAUGUAAAUGGUGUCAUCUGCGGAACAGGUGGCCAAGGCAGCGGCAGCUUUGGCGACCACAGUGACGUGCCUCGCUGAGGCCAUGGCAUGCACGGUGGUUUCCGCAACCGCGAGAGAGGUGGUCCUCCGCUCCCUUGCCGUAGCCGCCACCGGAUCUGCAGCCAUCCUGACUGGAUCCGCAACAGAGACGCAGAAGGCCCUUGCAUCCUCCACCCGUGCCAUCGCAGAUGCGGCCGCAGUGGUCGUGGGGAGGUAGGCCACACUGGUGGCAGGGAAGGUUCGUGCUCGCGCGGCCUUGGAGAGCCAGCUAUGCCUCCCCUUCGACCAUAACCUCCAUCGCAGUGGUGGUGGCAGGCGGUAGGGCGGCCGGUGCUCUUAACCUUUCUUUAUCUCCUAAGGGGGGAAAUAUUUCUUUAUUUGUCAUGGGGCUUUUUUUUCGAAAUAUAGACGCUCACAUAAACACACUCACACUCAUCACUAUGAAUACACGCAUGCAACCGUACCCUUGUGAGUACCUUCGAGAUACUGAGCUGGUAUAUUCUUGAGAUUGACGAAGUUACAACUGGCGUCUUGCUGUUGACGGGUACGUUACCUACCACUGAAAUAAUAGUGCUCGUUAAGUUUUAGAAUAGAUCUAAGAAAAUACGAGCAUCGAUGUCGAGUCGAGUAUUCGAACUAGGGUGAAUAAGUUCCGCUAUAAGCUGUGCUCAGUUUCUGCCACGGAGCUUUUCAGUAGCCGUGAAAGACAAGCAUUGAACCAUGACGCAAAUAAUUUGUCUCGCACAGCUAGAUCUACCAACGGCUAAAGCAAAAAAAAAAAAAAGCUUUGACGGUUUCAAAUGCUUCCACGUGGUUGCGUGCACGUGUCUGCGGAUCUUAUUAGUAAAAGCCAACAAUUUGUAUAGGCACAAAGCGUCAAAGCCCAUGCAACCUGUACUUAUUUGAAUCAAUACAUUGAAGUUUGUUAGAUUAAGUCGUAAUUAUGAGAUGGACAUAAAAAUAUGAGAUGGACAUAAAAAAAUAAUUUCUGCCUCCACCCGUUGUGCACCAGCAGUCCGGCACUAUAUAUAUGAAUAUUAUGUCGAAGGUUUCAGUAUGUUAUCUCUCAAGCGGGCCUGCUCAUCAAGUGCUCAACCACCUCUGUUCCAGAAAACACCGCUCCUUUUCUCAGUAGAACUAGCAAGGCAUGGCUAACCACCAUAAGCGUUGUCCCUUAACCAGUGCCUUCGUCUUUAUUCUCUCUUACAUUGUUCUGAUAGCAUCAGUAGAGUCAGCAAGGCCAGGAUUGUCUUACAACCAACAUUCUCCUACAUACCCACAGAUGCACGACUUCCAAAAUGAACAGCUUUUCCACGCGUAUUUCGUCAUUCAGAGCUUCAAAAAUACCGUCACAUGCGAUCCUAGGAACAUCACGUCAACCUGGACCGGCCCUGACAUCUGCGGCAAAAGGAGCUACGUGGGCUUCUAUUGCGCGAGAAAGCAGGGACCCGGUAGCAACCUCACGGUGACUUCAGCCAUUUUCAAUGGCUUUGGCCUGUGUGCGCCAAUGCUUCGAGGCUUCCUCGACCAGCUUCCCGAUCUUGCUCAUUUCCAGGCUACAUCUAACAAUUUUGGUGGUGAUGUCCCCAGCCUUGCCGGCCUGACGGAGGUGUCCAACGUUGAUGCCAACGGUAGGCGUAAACAAAAUAGAGAGGGAUCACAGAGCACUACAAGUAUUGAGAUAGAUAAUAUCGGAGUAACGGCAAAAACGAUGGGUGACCUAGUUCACGCAAUCACGCAUCCCUUUGAGAAUAGUAUUUCAGCACACUUACCCAAAAACAACUCAAGCCCUCGAGCCUCCUUUGCGCCGCCUUCCUCAUUGAGCCCAAGCACCGAGAGGCUUGGAUUUCCAAAGAUGAACUACCUCGCCCUCGCCAACAACAAGCUCACGGGUCCAAUUCCACCAUCAAUCGCAGAGGCACAAGAUACUCUCCUCGAGGUACUAUUCCUGAACAACCAGCUCUCCGGCUGCCUCCCUAACGAGCUGGGCAUGCUCCACAAGGCGACCGUCAUCGACGCCGGCAUGAACCAGCUCACCGGCCCGAUCCCUGCAUCCUUCUCGUGCCUCAGCAGCGUCGAGCAGCUCAACCUGGGCGGGAACCGCCUCUACGGCCAGGUGCCCGACGCGCUCUGCAAGCUCGCCGGCCCAGCCGGCCGCCUCGCCAACCUCACGCUGUCCGGCAACUACUUCACCUCCGUCGGGCCGGCGUGCGCGGCGCUGAUCAAGGACGGGGUGCUGGACGUGAAGAACAACUGCAUUCCGGGACUUGCCAACCAGAGGCGCCCGGUGGAGUGCGCGGUGUUCCACAGCCAUCCG